UACGGAGGGUGCGAGCGUUGUCCGGAAUCAUUGGGCGUAAAGGGCGCGUAGGUGGCCCGGUCAGUUCGUGGUGAAAGCCCCGGGCUCAACCUGGGAACUGCAUUCAAAACUGACAAGCUAGAGUAUGGUAGAGGGUGGUGGAAUUUCCUGUGUAGCGGUGAAAUGCGUAGAUAUAGGAAGGAACACCAGUGGCGAAGGCGACCACCUGGACUGAUACUGACACUGAGGUGCGAAAGCGUGGGGAGCAAACAGG
rnacentral:rRNA from 1 species